rnacentral:rRNA from 1 species
GACGAACGCUGGCGGCGUGCUUAACACAUGCAAGUCGAGCGGUAAGGCCCUUUCGGGGGUACACGAGCGGCGAACGGGUGAGUAACACGUGGGUGACCUGCCCUCAGCUCUGGGAUAAGCCUGGGAAACCGGGUCUAAUACUGGAUAUGACUCCAUGACGCAUGUUGUGGGGUGGAAAGCCUUGUGCGGCUGAGGAUGGGCCCGCGGCCUGUCAGCUUGUUGGUGGGGUGANGGCCUACCAAGGCGACGACGGGUAGCCGGCCUGAGAGGGCGACCGGCCACACUGGGACUGAGACACGGCCCAGACUCCUACGGGAGGCAGCAGUGGGGAAUCUUGCGCAAUGGGCGAAAAGCCUGACGCAGCGACGCCGCGUGAGGGAUGACGGCCUGGUUGUAA